GUUCCUGUACUCCAAGUCCGCUACCUUGUGAAACUCGACUUCCGGAACAUGCGCUCCGUAGUUCUGGCUGUCCAGGUCUUUGACCUGCUAACGUUUGACCUUCACGACUAAUUUUCCGUAGUUCUGGCUGUCCAGGUUCUGAACCCGGUGACUUUUCACCAAGCGCUACGUAGUUUGUGCGCUCCCGAUCCGCUACCUAGUGGAACUCGACUUUCAGGACACGCGCUCCGUAGUUUCUGCGCUCAAGGUCCACUACCUGCAGGAACUCGAUUUCCAGGACAAGGGUUCCAUGGUUCCUGCACUCCAGGUUCGCUACCUGGUGCGUCUCGACUUCCUGACAAGCGCUCCGUGGUUGCUUCGAUAAAGGUCCAAUACCUAGUAAAACUCGACUUUCAGAACACGCGCUGCGUAGUUUCUGCGCUCCAGAUCCGCUUCCUGGUGAAAAUCGACUUUCAGAACAAGAGUAUUCCAGGUAUAACCCGAGGUGAUUAGCAGUAGUGGUUGGCGGUGGUCGAGCUGGACAAGGCGGAGGAUGAGGCAGACGAGGAGAACAAGGUGGACGAGGAGGACGAGGAUUUGUGCUCGGUAUAUCCUGAGGUGGUUGGCGGUCGUUGGAGAUGGCCGGAGGUGGACAAGGAGGACGAGGAUUUUUGCUCGUUCUGUGCCCCACCUAGUGAUCCGCUAGUACA
rnacentral:lncRNA from 1 species